rnacentral:rRNA from 1 species
UGGGGAAUCUUGCACAAUGGGGGCAACCCUGAUGCAGCGACGCCGCGUGAGCGAUGAAGCCCUUCGGGGCGUAAAGCUCUUUCGACCGGAACGAUAAUGACGGUACCCGGAGAAGAAGCUGCGGCUAACUACGUGCCAGCAGCCGCGGUAAUACGUAGGCAGCAAGCGUUGUUCGGAGUUACUGGGCGUAAAGAGUGCGUAGGCGGUUUUCUAAGUUCGGUGUGAAAUCUCCCGGCUUAACUGGGAGGGUGCGCCGAAGACUGGGAAGCUGGAGUGUGGGAAAGGCAGGCGGAAUUCCUGGUGUAGCGGUGAAAUGCGUAGAUAUCAGGAGGAACACCGGCGGUGUAGACGGCUUGCUAGACCAUAACUGACGCUGAGGCACGAAAGCGUGGGUAGCAAACA